AUUGAACGCUGGCGGCAUGCCUUACACAUGCAAGUCGAACGGUAACAGGUCUUCGGAUGCUGACGAGUGGCGAACGCGUGAGUAAUACAUCGGAACGUGCCUCGUAGUGGGGGAUAACUACUCGAAAGAGUGGCUAAUACCGCAUGAGAUCUAAGGGUGAAAGCAGCGGAUCGAAAGACCUUAUGCUACUAGUGCUGCCGAUGGCAGAUUAGGUAGGUGGUGGGAUAAAAGCUUACCAAGCCGACGAUCUGUAGCUGGUCUGAGAGGACGAUCAGCCAUACUGGGACUGAGACACGGCCCAGACUCCUACGGGAGGCAGCAGUGGGGAAUUUUGGACAAUGGGCGCAAGCCUGAUCCAGCAAUGCCGCGUGCAGGAUGAAGGCCUGCGGGUUGUAAACUGCUUCUGUACGGAACGAAAAGCCCUGGGUAAUACCCUGGGGUCAUGACGGUACCGUAAGAAUAAGCACCGGCUAACUACGUGCCAGCCGCCGCCGUAAUAC
rnacentral:rRNA from 1 species